AUGGUCAAUUAGUGACCAUUUGGUAAGGUUUGACCAUAAAAUGAAGUGAAUUGUGACAUUAGAUUAGGGAUUUGGUAUGCUGCCCUGUUGUGUUAGUAAGUCUAAACUUGAGUCCAGUGUGUUUGGGUAGCUAUAACUUGGUUUGUGUAGCUUCAAUUGGUGCAAGGAUAAUUGAAGGUGAAACUAAGGUCAUAAUGCCACAACUUUGAUGAAGAAACCCUGCUUAGAAAACUAACUUAGGAUGACCUAAAAAUUGACUAAAUCUGGGUAACCAAUUCUGGACUGGGUAAAAAUGACCAAAUGAAUAGUGUUUAUUUAUUUGGUUAUAACUCAGUGUAGAAAGGUCCA
rnacentral:misc_RNA from 1 species